AUUUAGAUAGUUUAAAUUAAAAAUAAUGAUUUGUGGUGUCAUAGAUAUAAAUUAUUUAUUCUAAGUU
rnacentral:tRNA from 1 species